rnacentral:misc_RNA from 1 species
CUUUUGUAAACGGGGAAUAUUCAAUAUUGGAUAAAUAGUGGUCCAAGAUGGGGUAGCAGUUCUAGGAAAGCAGAUUUAUUCUAAUUGGUCGGUAUUGCGGCAAAAUUUUCACUAGAACUCCACAAGAAAAUUAUGGUUGAGUUUAUUGAGAAUUCCUUUCCUUUUAAAAAAAACACUAAGAAAUUCCCUCACGAUUUUGCUCAAAUCAUACUAUUGUAUGAAAAACACCCAUUAUAGCUAAUACAAACCGCUUAUAUUCCAUAAUUAUUCAAAUUUAUAGCCUGAAGAUUAGGACACAUGGGUAGACAAACAGGUUCACCAGCUUUAUGACCACAGAGAAAAGAAUCAUAAGACAUAUUAUUCAUUAAAACCACUUGUAAUGGUGAUAUAAUUUUGCCCCAAACAUGAUGGCAAAAUCUUGAGUGGCUAAACAUUUUCUUAUUCCUAGUUCCCAAAUCAUGCAAACAAGUCCGCACUGAUGAAUUCUCAUCAAGAUAUGAAUAGAGAUUUCAAAUUUUAACAAAUUAACCGUAAUAGAUUCUAAAGUAAUAAAAACUAAAAGGUAAGUACCAAUCAAGCUUUGGUCGGACUUUGCGCUUCUGAAUCUCGGCUC